rnacentral:rRNA from 1 species
AUAUCAAUAAGCGGAGGAAAAGAAACCAACAGGGAUUGCCUUAGUAACGGCGAGUGAAGCGGCAACAGCUCAAAUUUGAAAUCUGCCUCUAGGCCGAGUUGUAAUUUGUAGAAGAUGCUUCGGGUGUGGCACCGGUCUAAGUUCCUUGGAACAGGACGUCAUAGAGAGUGAGAAUCCCGUACGUGACUGGCCGCCUUCGCCCGUGUGAAGCUCUUUCGACGAGUCGAGUUGUUUGGGAAUGCAGCUCAAAAUGGGUGGUAUAUUUCAUCUAAAGCUAAAUAUUGGCCAGAGACCGAUAGCGCACAAGUAGAGUGAUCGAAAGAUGAAAAGCACUUUGGAAAGAGAGUUAAACAGUACGUGAAAUUGUUGAAAGGGAAGCGCUUGCAACCAGACUUGAGCGCGGCGGUUCCCCUAGCCUUUUGGCUAGGCUAUUCCGUCGUGACCAGGCCAACAUCGGUUCUGAGGGUCGGUUAAAGGCCCCGGGAAUGUAUCUACCCACGGGUAGACUUAUAGACCGGGGUGUCAUGCGGCCUCUCGGGACCGAGGAACGCGCUUCGGCUCGGAUGUUGGCGUAAUGGUUGUCAGCGA